rnacentral:rRNA from 1 species
UGCCAGCCGCCGCGGUAACACGGGGGGCGCAAGCGUUAUUCGGAAUUAUUGGGCGUAAAGGGCGCGCAGGCGGUCUUGUCCGUCAGGUGUGAAAGCCCUGGGCUCAACCUGGGAACUGCAGUUGAUACUGAUCGACUAGAGUACGAGAGAGGGAGGUAGAAUUCCAUGUGUGGCGGUGAAAUGCGUAGAUAUAUGGAGGAAUACCAGUGGCGAAGGCGGCCUCCUGGCUCGAUACUGACGCUGAGGUGCGAAAGCGUGGGGAGCAAACAGGAUUAGAUA